ensembl:misc_RNA Metazoa_SRP Metazoan signal recognition particle RNA
GCUGGGUAUGGUGGCACAUACCUGUAAUCCCAGCUACUCAGGAGGCUGAGGCAGGAGAAUUGCUUGAACCCAGGAAGUGGAGGUUGCAGUGAGCUGAGAUCACACCACUGCACUCCAGCCUGGGUGACAGAGUGAGACCCUGUCUCAA